rnacentral:misc_RNA from 1 species
GGAGUAAAGUCUAACAAGGUUUCCGUAGGUGAACCUGCGGAAGGAUCAUUAUUGUAUAACCGAGGUGCGAGGGCUGUCGCUGACCCGAAAGGUCGUGCACGCCCGAGUGCCCUCACACACAUCCAUCUCACCCCUAUGUGCACCACCGCGUGGGUCCCCCUUUGGCUUGUUCGGAGGGGGGCUUACGUUUUCACACAAACUUUGUAUGCAGUGUAGAAUGUAUUUUUUGUUUUUGCGAUCACGCAAUCAAUACAACUUUCAACAACGGAUCUCUUGGCUCUC